UGGGGUGUAGCUCAGUGGUAGAGCAUGUGCUUAGCAUGCAUGAGGUCCUGGGUUCAAUCCUCAGUACCUUCA
rnacentral:tRNA from 1 species